rnacentral:rRNA from 1 species
GUGGGGAAUUUUGGACAAUGGGCGCAAGCCUGAUCCAGCAAUGCCGCGUGCAGGAAGAAGGCCUUCGGGUUGUAAACUGCUUUUGUACGGAACGAAACGGUCCUGGUUAAUACCUGGGGCUAAUGACGGUACCGUAAGAAUAAGCACCGGCUAACUACGUGCCAGCAGCCGCGGUAAUACGUAGGGUGCGAGCGUUAAUCGGAAUUACUGGGCGUAAAGCGUGCGCAGGCGGUGCUGUAAGACAGGCGUGAAAUCCCCGAGCUCAACCUGGGAAUUGCGCUUGGGAAUGCAGUGCUGGAGUACGGCAGAGGGGGAUGGAAUUCCGCGUGUAGCAGUGAAAUGCGUAGAUAUGCGGAGGAACACCGAUGGCGAAGGCAGUCCCCUGGGCCUGUACUGACGCUCAUGCACGAAAGCGUGGGGAGCAAACAGGAUUAGAUACCCGAGUAGUCC